CAGCUGCAAAGUUUGAGGGCUUUGUUUUUUCAACGGAAGUGAGUCGAUAACAAAAACAUUAAUAAUUUAGACUUUAGAUGGCACUUGUCCCCUCUGACUGCAAACAUGGUUAUUUAUAGAUGCAUAGAAAUUCAUACAAAAUAGAUGAUGCCCUCAGCGAGGCCAUGGGCAGGUCUGCUCAAUUGAAGAAAUUCCACAUUCAAUCAGCUAUCUUGAACAGGUGAUUCAAAAUUUCAGAAGCACUGGCAACUAGAGAAUUGGGACACUCGCUCAAAAAUUUCAGAAGCUCCUAUACGAAAAAAAAAAAAAAAACCCACCA
rnacentral:misc_RNA from 1 species